rnacentral:lncRNA from 1 species
GGGCUCCUUGGGGAAGAGACAGCCAGGGAGGGGCUUGUUAGCGGCUGCCCGGUGCUGUCAGGGGCUGUGUCAGGCUAGGGGUUGAAUCGGAGCUGUAGCCACCGGCCUACGCCAGAGCCACAGCAACGCGGGAUCUGAGCCGCGUCUGCAACCUACACCACAGCUCACGGCAAUGCCGGAUCGUUAACCCACUGAGCAAGGGCAGGGAUCGAACUCGCAACCUCAUGGUUCCUAGUCGGAUUCGUUAACCACUGCGCCACGACGGGAACUCCUGCUCAGCUUUUUUUUGAUGACAUGUCCUGUUCUUGUCGUUGGCAGGUUGGCUAAAAAGUAAACCUGGGAGAGGGUCGAGGCUUUUGUUCCUCUGGGUCCAGCCCUCGGCUGCUCUCUCCUGGUUUCCUGUAGUUAUUCAGUGAACAGCGAUCAAGUGCCUCGUGUGGGCGGGGGCUGAGGAACUGGCUCUUGGCUAAUGGAUGACCCUCACGCGGCAGGUGUACAAAGAAGCCUAAGGAGAGGCGGUGAUUGCGCUCAUCUGUAUCUCUUCCUUUCCAUCCUUGGCGCCUUCACGCGGGGGAAGGGAGUGGACGUCCCCCUAGAUUACUUUGGUAAGAAGCGUGUGAGAGAAGGUUUGGAGAAGGAAAUUGAAACUGCGGAGAAAUAGAAGGUUCGGGAAGUACUGCUGGAGUUUUCUUACUCUUCUAGCCCGGGGACUCGGUCCCCGUUACCCCUGAUCGUGGGCGUUUUCUGUUUAACUGUCUUGUCAGUCAGUCAGGGACACAUGCUGAGAAUAGAAACCAGCACCACUCGUGUUGUAGCUGCCAGUCCACACACGCCCCACUGGUCCCGUUGUUGUGAUGGUUGCUGCGAUGCUUCACGUCAAACGCCAGCCCUUUGCCUGCCUGUCAAGGACGUCACACCUGCAGUAGGUCUCAGGGCUGUGGCUUGGUCGCAGCCCAGGGAAGGGUGAUGCUGCCUUCAGCUCUCUUUGGAGGAGUCAGCCUCGUUCCCCAGACUCCCAGCCUGCCUUGCCUUGGAGUCGUGGGCUGAACGGACCCAGCCCUGCCCAUGGGUGAACCCGUCACCGGCCAAGAGUAAUGGGGUUGUCGAGACUGGUUCAGAGCAUCAGCUGGAGAAUCAAUCCUGCUGCUGGCGGCAGGGGCCUCCUGCCAGCGUAAAUGUGCGUGCACCUUGCAGUGGGAGGCGUGUGCAUCCAGUAGGACCCUGACACGGGGAUAGAGGCCAAGGACAGGAGCGGAGAGGAGCCCGUGCGCUUCCUCGGUUCCCUUGACUCCUUCUCUGGGGCCUGCGAGUGUGGCGCUGCCCUGUGCACCUGCUCGUCUCCCUCCUCUUAGAGCAGAGCUUCUUGAUCCUCAGUAUUUGUGGCCACCGUACCUGGCUCCUCACAGGGACUUGAUGGAGGGUUGGAACAAAUUGAAUGAAAAAGAUGCUUCACAUUCCUUCGCGUUUAACUUUUAUCGAAUCUGCCUGGCAACAAGUGGGCCGUUGACUCUUCUUGUUCUUUAGUUUAUUUGAUAACAGCUUUAAGUUAGAAUUCACAUACCAUUCGGUUCACUCCUUGAAAAUGCGCGAUUCGGUGGUUUUUCGUAUGUUCACAGAGCUGCGCAGCCACCAACACAGAGUCAGUUUCAGAACAUUUUCCAUCGAAAGAAACUCCAUGCUCAUGACCAGUCGCUUUGCACUCUCACCUUCCCCCAGACUGGCAGUCACUAAUCGGCUUGCUGUUUCUAUGGACUGGCCUGUUUUGGACAGUCCAUAUAGAUGGACUCACCCAAUACGGGACUUCUUUACUCAGCAUCGUGUUUUCCAAGUUUAUCCAUGUGGUAGCCCGUGUGGGGACCUCAUUCCCCUUUUAUGGCCAAAUAGCAUUCCACUCUGUGUGUCGGCCCCCUUUUGUUAACCCAUUGUCGGGUGACGGACUUCUGUCUUGUUUCCAGUUUUUGGCUCUUACGAAUAAUGCUGCUGCGAGCAUUCAUGUACAAGCGUUUGUGUGGACAUGUGUUUUUAUUUCUCUUGGGUAUAUCGUGUAUACUUAGAAAGAGCUAGGUCACUGGUAACGCUAUGCUUAACCUUUUGAGGAACUGGCAAACUGUUUUGCAAAGUGACUGUGCUCUUUUUUUGUUCCCGGCAGCAAGAUUUUGAGGGUUCCAGUUUCUCCACAGCCUUGUCAACCCUUGUGAUUGUCUGUUUUUCGAUUCUAGCCAUCCCAGUGGGGGUCAGGUUCUAUACCUCGUUGUAUGUUCAUCAUUAAAAAAAAAAA